UUCAACUCGCCUUCAACUCCUCUCUGGGGUCACCAACUUUCGGCCAGUCCGCAGACAGACGAGAAGAAGCUGCUGAAUGCUCUCAGUGGAUCGUCUCGUCAACUCCAACAACAAACUGCCGAUAUCAACGAGCGGUUCGCUCCACUGGAGCGUUCGGGACUCUCCAGGUUGUUGUCAAUGGAGGAGAGGAUGGCGGCUCUGGAGGAACUGAGUCAAAGAAGAGGAGACGGGCGCACAAUCCCAAGAUAGCGAAGCGGUGUGCCGUCUUCACAACUCCGAGACGAAUUACAGGCGCUACGAACCGGAGCAAGGGUAAGAUUUACUGAAUAUGCUUUCAUUCUGCGGUAUAAGGGAAUAUAUACAUAUGGAUACCAUAGGAUGGAUACCGAUCAUAACUGUACAUUUUGUUUUCACAGACUAAUCUCGCCUCAUAAUGAGGCGGUGACCUCGUAUUUGCUCCGGGAAAAGUCCAGAUUUAGACGGCAUCAUUGUGUCCGCCUGUAAGACGUAUUUUGAGACGGGACGCAGGACCUUCAGGUUUUCCAGCCGGAACACUCAUUGCUGGCGGAAGCUGCGAAGGAUUCAGCGCGGAGUCGAGCGAGAAGAAAGAGGCUGCUGGAAUUGAGACAAAGUGUGCUGGCUGAUGACGAGGUGGAACUCUGGAAAUCCGCCACCGUAGAGCUCACGUCGGACGGAGAGGAUGGCGUUGUUGGCGGGGUCUCGGGGUGGAUUGUACAGUCGCCACACGCACACGAGGCGCCUGCACAACAGACCUGCCUCGGAAAACACGCCGCCAGUGACGGUCUACAACCCCGAGGAGGCAAACUGACAGUUUACUGAGCUGUAGUUUUUAAACCGCCGUUACCCAAGUGUGGGCAGAUCCUCACUUUGUAUGUAGUUGUUGUUUGUGUGUUGUUAAUAAAGCUCUUUCUUUGCAUAAACAUGUGGCAAAUGUUCAUUUUCUCUAUAAAUUCAUUGAUGUCCUGGUUGGUAUCCUAAUAAUAGUGUAGUAGCCUACAUAGGAUAACCAUGAAAUGAAUAUACAGC
ensembl:lncRNA